rnacentral:rRNA from 1 species
CGGCCCACGGGGCGGGACAUGCGGAUUAAUUCGAUGCAACGCGAAGAACCUUACCAAGGCUUGACAUGGACCGGACCGCCGCAGAAAUGUGGUUUCCCCUUUGGGGCUGGUUUACAGGUGGUGCAUGGUUGUCGUCAGCUCGUGUCGUGAGAUGUUGGGUUAAGUCCCGCAACGAGCGCAACCCUCGUUCUAUGUUGCCAGCACGUGAUGGUGGGGACUCAUAGGAGACUGCCGGGGUCAACUCGGAGGAAGGUGGGGACGACGUCAAAUCAUCAUGCCCCUUAUGUCUUGGGCUUCACGCAUGCUACAAUGGCCGGUACAAAGGGUUGCGAUACUGUGAGGUGGAGCUAAUCCCAAAAAGCCGGUCUCAGUUCGGAUUGGGGUCUGCAACUCGACCCCAUGAAGUCGGAGUCGCUAGUAAUCGCAGAUCAGCAACGCUGCGGUGAAUACGUUCCCGGGCCUUGUACAACCCGCCCGUA